rnacentral:rRNA from 1 species
CAGUCGUAUCUAUGGGUAAUCAGCCUUUUGGGUGUGAUUUUGUGGAGUGUGAGGAGUUAAACGCCUUCAUGCCUGCAUAUUCGUGCACUUUGGGUGUACUUGCCCGUAUGGUUGGUUAACAUCAAUUUCGGGCACCAUAAAAUGGCUGGAGGAAUGUAGCUUCGAUCUUGUAUUGAAGUGUUAUAGCCUUCGGUAGAUGUGGUGAUCGAGAUUGAGGAUUGCAACGGAUACCUUUCGGGGCUACCUGUCUGAUCUCUGAUCGUUGCUCUGGUGCCGAAAGCUUGCUUACGGUUAUCAAAGUCGAUGGUCAAUAGGUUAGAACGGGUUAAA